UGGAAUCGGGCACGAAAGACAGGACUUUUUUGAGCAUGAGUCACCUUCUCGGAACACACGAGGCUUGACCUUCUUAUCGAAUGCUUUUUCACUCUCUGCUGAUAUGACUGUCCAUGACACAUGGCAGUUGAUCUCUUCCUUUCGAUCGAAUUCAGCAUCAGCCAACUUGGGACUUUGAGGGUGCUAUUUUUUUUUGUUUCUUU
rnacentral:lncRNA from 1 species